ACCAUGAUCAAAUGGGAUUUAUUCCAGGGAUGCAAGGAUGGUUCAACAUCAGAAAGGUCAAUCAAUGCGGUAUACCAUAUUACCAAACAAAUGUUAAAAAUGAUCAUUUCAAUAGUGCAGAAAAAGCAUUUGACAAAAUUCAAUAUCCACUUAUGAUAAAAACUUUCGACAAAGUAGGUAUAGAGGAAACAUACCACAAUAUAAUAAAGGCAUAAAUGAUAAGCCCAUAGCUAAUAUACUUAGUGGUGAAAAGCUGAAAGCUUUUUCUCUAAAUCAGUAAGAUAAGGAUGCCCACUCUUGUCAUUUUUGUUCAACAUAAUAUUGGAAGUCCUAGCCAGAACACGUAGGCUAAAAAAAGAAAUAAAAGGCCCCCAAAUUGGAAAGUAAGAAGUAAAACUGUCUCUAUUUACAGAUGACACAGUAUAUACAGAAAACCCCAAGGACUCUACCAAAAAUCUGUUAGAACUAAUAAAUUCAGUAAAGUGUCAGCACACAAAAUCAAUAUAUAAAAUCUGCUGUAUUUCUAUUAAUAGCAAACUAUCAGAAAUCAAGAAACCAAUUCUGUAUCAAAAAAGAAUACCUAGAAAUACAUUAAACCAAAGAGGCAAAAGACCUGUACACUGAAAACUAUGAAAGACACAAAUAAAUGGAAAUAGAUUUCAUGCUUAUGCGUUAGAAAAAUUAAUAGUUAAAAUGUCCAUGCCACAAAAGACCCUGAAUAACCAAAGCAAUUUCGAGAAAGAAGGAAGUUGGAGGCAUCAUGCUCCCUGAUUUCAAAAUAUACUACAAUAAUCAAAACAGUAUUGUAUUGGUAUAAAAACAGACACAUAGAUCAAUGGAACACAAUAAGAGAGCCUAGAAAUAAACCCCCACAUAUAUAAUCAUUUAAUUUAUGACAAAGGAGCCAAGAAUAUACAAUGGCAAGUGAAGAGUCUCAACUACCGCUGUUAGGAAAAUUGGACAGCCACAUACAAAAGAAUAACCUAGACCACUAUCUUACAUCAUACACAAAAAUUAACUCAAAGUGGAUUAAAGACUUGACUAGGAGAACUGAAACCACGAAAAUAGAAGAAAACAGGUAGUAGGCUCUUUAACAUCAAUCCUGGUGAUCAGGUUUUGGAUUUGGCAGCAAAAGCAAAGGCAGCAAAAGUAAAAAUUAAAAAGUAGGUCUAUAUCAAACUAAAAAGUCCCUGUCCGCAGAGAAAACCAUCAACAAAAUGAAAAGACAACCUACUGAAUGGGAGAAAAUAUUUAGAAAUCAUAUAUCUGAUUAGGGGCUAAUAUCUAAAAUAUAUGAAGAACCCAUUAACUCAAUAGCAAAAAACAAUCUGAUUUUAAAAUGGGUAGAGGAGGGAGUUCCAACUGUGGCUCAGCAGAAAGGAAUCUGACUAGCAUCUGUGAGGACACAAGUUUGAUCCCUGGCCUUGCUCAGUAGGUUAAGGAACUGGCAUUGCCAUGAGCUGUGAUGUAGGUCUCGGACACAGCUCGGAUCUGGAGUUGCUGUGGCUGUGGUGUAGGCCAGCAGCUACAGCUCCGAUUUGACUCCUAGCCUGAGAACCUCCACGUGCCAUGGGUAAGGCCCUAAAUAAAAUAAAAUGGGCAGAGGAUUCGAACGGACAUUUUUUCCAAAGAAGAUGUACAGAUGGACAACAUGUACAUGAAAAUAUGCUUCACAUCAUUCAUCACCAGGGAAAUGCAAACCAAAACCACAAUGAGCUAACAUGUUAGGAUGGCUAUCAUCAAAAGGACAAAAAAUAAUAAAUGUUGGUGAGGAUGUGGAAAAGAGAGAAUCCUGGUAUACUGUUGGUAGAAAUGGAAAUUUGUGCAACCACUAUGGAAAACAGUACAGAGAUUCCUCCCAAAAGUUAAAAAUAGAACCACAAAAUGAUCUGGCAAUUUCACUUCUGGUUAUUUGUAGAGAAAAUAAAAACUAAUAUGAAAAUACAUAUAUAGCCCUACUCCGGCAAUAUUUACUAUACCCAAGACGUGUACAACCUAAGUGUCCGCUGGCAAAGAACGGAUAAAGAAAAUGUAUAUGCAUGAUACACACGCACACAUACACACACAAGCCAUUAAAAAUAAUAAAAUCUUACCAUUUGCAACCACAAGAAUGGACCUUGGAGGCAUUAUGUUAAGUGAAAUGAAUCAGACAGAAAAAGACAAAUACCACAUAAUCUCAUUUAUAUACGCGGCUCGGAUCCCGCGUUGCUGUGGCUCUGGUGUAGGCCGGUGGCUACAGCUCUGAUUAGACCCGUAGCCUGGGAACCUCCAUAUGCCGCGGGAGCAGCCCAAGAAAUAGCAAAAAGACAAAAAAUAAAAUAAAAUAAAAUAAAAGUU
rnacentral:lncRNA from 1 species